AAACCCUGUACAAGCUUUAGACCCUUCAUUGUUUGGAGUCAGUAAGCAAUUCUCAUCUGCAACCAUUCCCAUCUUUUAAAGCAGAAAAAGUUGAAGCCAAGGACAUACACAAAACACUAAGAAACCUGGGGAUAGAGCUCACAAAUAGGGAAAUCGGGGAGCUGUUGAAAAUGUUGCCAUUUGCUGAUGAUAAAAAGAUAGAGAAAAAUGAUUUGCUCAAUCACAUCAAGGCUUUUCCUGGUGGGAAGUGUCAUGUCUCUAAACUGGAAACCAUCCUGGAAAACUUGGGUUAUGACCUGGAGAAUGAGGAAGUUGAGGACCUGAGGAGCCACCUGCCAGCUGAUGGUGAAAAGGUUAAACCAAAUACUCUCAUGGAAAAUGUUGAGUCAUUCAAAGAUGACAGAAAGUACUAUCAAAAACGGUUGCUACAGGGUUUAAAGACUUUCCAAGAUAAUGGAAAAGUUCCUCUGAACUCCUGAUGAACAUAGCACGUUUAUUUUCUGGUAAUAAGAUUAAUGCCAAGGACACACAACUUUAUCUGGAAAAUAUAGGUAUUGAAUUAACAAAGAACAAAAGUGAGGAGCUAUUGG
rnacentral:lncRNA from 1 species